rnacentral:rRNA from 1 species
CCUACGGGUGGCAGCAGUGGGGAAUAUUGCACAAUGGGGGAAACCCUGAUGCAGCAACGCCGCGUGGAGGAUGAAGUAUUUAGGUAUGUAAACUUCUAUCAGCAGAGAAGAAAAUGACGGUACCUGACUAAGAAGCACCGGCUAACUCCGUGCCAGCAGCCGCGGUAAUACGGAGGGGGCAAGCGUUAUCCGGAUUUACUGGGCGUAAAGGGAGCGUAGGCGGGCUUGUAAGUCAGAUGUGAAAGCCUGGGGCUCAACUCCAGAACUGCAUUUGAAACUGUGGGUCUAGAGUGUAGGAGAGGUAGGUGGAAUUCUUAGUGUAGCGGUAAAAUGCGUAGAUAUUAGGAGGAAUACUCGUGGCGAAGGCGACCUACUGGAACAUUACUGACGCUCAUGCACGAAAGCGUGGGGAGCAAACAGGAUUAGAUACCCCGGUAGUC